CUGCUGCCUCGCUCUGGGGAAAGACAGUGGAGGGGCCACAGUUAAUGGUUAGCUGCAGAUAACUGACUAUAUAAGGGCCUGAAGAACCCAGUCUUGAGCCUGCCUGGGCCUCCUGGAAGGCAAGGGUGCAUGUGGGUGGUACUUUGGGAGCCCAGGCUGCCUUGCUGGCCUUCUCCAGUCUAGGAGCUCGUCCAAGCAGUAUACACAUACCACAGCUUGCCCCCAAGGAUACUGUUAACCGCCAAACCUAUGGUGAAGUGCACCAGCAUGGAAGCCACCUGUCUCCAAUCCUUCAACAUCCCAAGCCUUAGCAGACUGAGCCCACUCUACUAAAGGUCUUCAUGGGAGAGAAUACCAAUUGUUCUACUGUAAGGUACCAGGCCACCAGGAAGACAAGGAGGAUGCCUCAUGCACCUGGAAUAGACUGCUUCUCCACGACAAUACCCGAGCACCGCAGCUGUCUCAGGGUAGAUAGCCUGGAAUUUCAAGAGGUGGCGCUUCAGGGCAUACAGAGGGUGGUUCUUGUAUGUGCUGAUGGAGGUGGGCAAAGGCUGGUCCAGGUGCUUCGCCUGAAACUGCAAAGGCCAAACACAGUGGUGAGCAUGCUUCUGACAAGGAAGGGGUUAUGAAUAGACCGCUAGAUAUGAGCCUGUUCUGACAACAGACAGCGGAGCCCAGACCCAUCAGCAACUUGGUGACACCGCCAGUCACUGUGGCCAUGAGGUGCAGCGAGGAAAGCCAGGAAGUACUAGUAACUGUGAUGUGCACCUACAUCAGAAAGGCACCUGUCUCCAAUCUUCAACAUCCUAAGCCGUAACAAUUAACAGACCGAGCCCACUCUACUCAAGAUCUUCAUGGGAGAGAAUACCAACUUUCCCACUGUAAGGCCUAACCUCAUGGCAAUGCCAUCUGAUAGUAAAAGCGGGCUUGACGGGCUUAAGCAACCACCCUACAGCUUUCCUGAAAUUCACACAAGUCUUGUACUUCAGUAAGAACUUUGGGUUAUCAGUUAUCCGUAGUAAAUCCCACUGCUUUGAGGCAAAUCCUGCUUCCCAACCUGACUUAAUUUCCUCUUGGCAUCUGAAACACCAAGAGGCUCCUACAGACUGGCACCAUUGUGUUGGUUGGUUUUUGUUGUUGUUGUUGUUGUUGUUUUUUCCAACUUGACACAAACCUAGACAUAUCUAGGAAGGGAGAUCUCAACUGAGGCACUGCCUCCAUCAGACAGGCCUAUGGACAAUGUCUGUGGGGCAUUUUCUUGAUUGUUGAUUGAUGUAGGAGGCCCAGCCCACUGUAGGGCAAUGCCACCCCUUAGCAGGUGAUCCCGGAAGGUAUAAAGGUAGCUGAAUGUGAAUGUGGAGACCAAGUCCAUAAGCAUCUUUCCUCCAUGUUCCUGUCUCCGCUCCUGCUUGAGUUCCCGCCCUCAAGGAUGGACUGUGAUGGGGAUGUGUAAGCCAAAUGUUUGUGUGAUAAUUAAACGCAAUCAAAUAAAUAGAAAAGUAUGUCUUCCUA